GUCAUACCAAAACAAAUUGGUUAAACAUCUUCCCUACUGAGUUCAGGACUCUAGGGCACUCUGUUUCUUUGUGUAUCAGAAGAAUCAUAGGCCAAUGUAAUUUUAGAACACAACCAAAGACUUGUCUCUUGACAGGGUCACUAAGCACCAUAGCCACUGUAGCUUAUUGAAGUCAUUAUGAUGCCAAGCUACUAAGUCUUUCAAUUCAAUCAUUUAUUAAACUGACAAGACAGGGUUUUAAAGCAGAGCUCGUAGCUCUGACUUGAAACCCUGUCACUCAGAUUGCAAGGGAAACAUUCUUCCUGGCUUUCACAUCAGUGAG